rnacentral:rRNA from 1 species
GAGCGGAUGAAGGGAGCUUGCUCUCUGAUUCAGCGGCGGACGGGUGAGUAAUGCCUAGGAAUCUGCCUGGUAGUGGGGGACAACGUCUCGAAAGGGACGCUAAUACCGCAUACGUCCUACGGGAGAAAGCAGGGGACCUUCGGGCCUUGCGCUAUCAGAUGAGCCUAGGUCGGAUUAGCUAGUUGGUGAGGUAAUGGCUCACCAAGGCGACGAUCCGUAACUGGUCUGAGAGGAUGAUCAGUCACACUGGAACUGAGACACGGUCCAGACUCCUACGGGAGGCAGCAGUGGGGAAUAUUGGACAAUGGGCGAAAGCCUGAUCCAGCCAUGCCGCGUGUGUGAAGAAGGUCUUCGGAUUGUAAAGCACUUUAAGUUGGGAGGAAGGGCAUUAACCUAAUACGUUGAUGUUUUGACGUUACCGACAGAAUAAGCACCGGCUAACUCUGUGCCAGCAGCCGCGGUAAUACAGAGGGUGCAAGCGUUAAUCGGAAUUACUGGGCGUAAAGCGCGCGU